CACGUAGGGUGCGAGCGUUGUCCGGAAUUAUUGGGCGUAAAGAGCUCGUAGGCGGUGUGUCGCGUCGGCCGUGAAAACCUGCAGCUUAACUGUGGGCUUGCGGUCGAUACGGGCAUCACUGGAGUUCGGCAGGGGAGACUGGAAUUCCUGGUGUAGCGGUGAAAUGCGUAGAUAUCGGGAGGAACGCCGGUGGCGAAAGCGAUUCUCUGGCCCGUUCCUGACACUGAGGCGCGAAAGCUAGGGGAGCAAACAGG
rnacentral:rRNA from 1 species